rnacentral:piRNA from 1 species
AAGGGGAAUUGAAGAAGAUUUGG